rnacentral:misc_RNA from 1 species
AAGUCGUAACAAGGUCUCCGUAGGUGAACCUGCGGAGGGAUCAUUAACACUAUAUACAAAGUAGAUCGUUGACUUCAAAAAUCAACUUUCUCACUUUUGUUAUACCAACUCGUGAACGAAACAUUAUGUAUCUCUCGCUUAGCUUUGUAAUAUAAGCUAAGUUAUGUUUUUAUUGUAUUUUCUUUAUACAAACUAACAUCUUCAACAGUAUAACUUGUACCACAUAGAAUGCAUUCUUAGAGUGUAUUUUUAUGGAGUGUUACUUUUAGUUAACAAAAUAAGCACAACUCUUAGCAACGGAUAUCUCGGUUCUC